CGUGUCUCCACGUGACCGGAUUUUGUUAGCCGGGCACUCCCCUGUCACGUGAGCGCGCGCGCCUCUCUUCCUGCUUUCUUGACCCUCUCCGCCAUUUAAAGAAACAGUACCGGGGGCGGGCCGAGCGACGCAGCCGGGACGGCAGCAGCGGCACGGACCGGAGGAGCCAUCUUGUCUCGUCGCCGGGGAGUCAGGCCCCUAACUCGAAGAAGCCCUGGCGCGCCCUCCCCCCCUCCCCGGUCUGGUAGGGCGAAGGAGCGGGCGCGCGGUCGAUCGAGCGAUCGGUUGGCGGCUCUUUCUCCUGCUCUGGCAUCCAGCUCUUGGGGCGCAGGCCCGGCCGCCGCGGCGCGCGCCCGGUGGCCGUUGGCGCUCGCGCCGCGUCUUUCUUCUCGUACGCAGAACUCGGGCGGCGGCCUAUGCGUUUGCGAUUCGACGAGGAGUCGUCCGGGUGGUCGGCGGCGGCGGGCAGCUGCUCCGCCCCGCUCCCGGGGAGGCGGCGGGAUUUGGCGCGGCCGGGGAAGCUGGGGUGGCCGGGGCCGGCCUGGAGGCCUGGCGCCACCCUUCGGGGCCUGCAAGGACCCAGUUGGGCGGGCAGGAGGGGGCUGGGGGAUGGUUGGUGGUGGGCUUCCUACUUUGUCUUUUUCUUCUUAUGCCGCCCUAGUGAGGGGCGGGAUCUCUGGCGGCAGCUCCGGGGUGGAGAGACAAGCUCCGGAGUCGGAAGAGCUGGGUUUGCUUCCGGGCCUAGCCACCAGUUGGCCGAGUGACCUUAGGCAAGUCACUUGGUAAUUUGUCUGCGCCUCAGUUUCCUCCUCUAUCAACGUUUGUGGGAUUGAAAGCGCUUUGUAAACUAUAAAGCGUCGGUGAAUGUAAGGGAUGAUUAUUGUUCGUAAUGCUUGGGUUUUUUUUUUUUUUUUUUUGUUGUAAGAAAACUUAUCAAUUGUCCAAUCCUUGGAUUUUGAACCUGGGAACCUUGGAUUGGAGUUGGAUAUUCCCAAAUUCCCUGAAAUUGUGUGCAAAAAUUAGUGGGAAUAUGCAUUUUAGGGGAAUGAGGAUCCAUCGCUAGCAAGUUUUCAGAGGGGGCUGUGACCCAGAAGAGUUAAGAACCACAAUUCCUUUGCCACAAGGAGGAAACUGAGGCCUAGAUGUCAUUUGGGACCCGUCACAACCAAUUUGAAGCCCCUGUUGAAUCCCUGGGAUAUGUGAGCUGUUCUAUGCAUAGUGGGUAUUCGGGGUAACAACACUCCACUGCUUGGCUUCUAUUCUGAGUCUUUUCACCAUGGGUUGCCUGAAAGGUGGCUGAUGCAUAUGGUACAGUGGCACCCAAUAUAAAGCAGCUAAAAGUAGGAGUGGAUGUGUUCUCUAGUAUCAAGAAGCCUGUUUAAUCUUCGGCCCAACAACUUUUUAUUUUCUGGUGCCUGACUACUUUUCUGUUUCAUUGACCAUUUUCCAUGACCAUGGCUGCCAUCCGUUACUUGCUUCUAUUUUAUAUUCUUAGUUUGUGUGAUUGGUAGUGAGCAGGCUUAUUUUUAAAUGGUGCUGCCAAGUCCAGCUAAUUAAUGGUGCAGGUGAAUUUUUAGCAAGCUGGCUGACUGGAACAAACUGAACCAGGCAUGGAAUUCCUGAAGAUGUUUGGGGGUUUGUCUUUAUUAAUUGAAGGUUAACAUUCUCUGAAAAGUUUUGUUAGAACGUCUACUGAACCUCAAAAUCAGUAGACUGCAAGUGUUUCAAACCUUAACUUUCCACCCCCCCCCCACCACCGGCCUACUUUGUAUUCUCUUUGCUUGCAAGUGUGUUACUAAAAUGGCCAAAAUGCCAGUUUUUGCUUCUUUGUUAAUUGUCAGCUGCUUUUAUCAAAUUCCAGGCCAUUAUCCAGCAAACACUAUAGAAAUGUUUGAACACUUGGAUUUCAAACAUUUUCAAUUUGUGGAGUGGUGCUUACCAGUGGUACAGUUCUAAGCAAGCAAACACAAACCCACUUAAGUGUUUUGUUUGUUAGGGGUUAGCCGGUUCUGCUAUUUCAUACAAACAUCUGGGAAAAAUCAAUUGACUAUUCCCUUUACCUAGAGGGCAGAGACAAAGGAUCUCAAUUCCAGAGAAGUGACUGUUUUGGAGAAAGAUGUGUUGGUCUUUUAGCUCUUUUGUAAUUAAAUCUGGAUGUACCUCAAAAGAAUGUUAAGACUGUGGUGAUAAGAUGCUUUCCUCAGGAGAAAGGAGGAAAAAAACAACUGGAACUCAAAGCUUGAAAUUCUGUGACAAAACAUGAGCUGUCCGGGAUAGGAGGUUGAAAGUGUUUCACUACAGCGUUCUGCUCUCCAGAUGUCCUUCAGUGUAGUCACGGCGUGGACUCCAGAUUUCCAGAUUUUCAAGAACUGGAUCUGGGACCUGGAAGAGAUUAUCAAGAUGUGACAGGAACUUGGGAGCUGGAUUUUUUUUUGUUUUUGAAUUUGGGGACUGUUUUCCUCGCUUUGAGAAAAGAGACAAUGACUGAGCAAACACUGCCACCAGCGCUAUUACUGGGAAUUCGGAGACCUGAAUUUUCGCCACACUCUCAGUGCAAACUCUGGCGAUGCUCCACCCACAGUGAACUACGUCCUGUGCCUCCUGGUUGCCAAGUGUUCACCUGGACCGUCUGACCACCUUUGUGCUAUUCCAUCAGCCUACAGAUCUGGUACCUGGAUUUUUGCCCAUGGUGAUUCUACCACCUUACUACUGAAGAAGACAUCAUUCCAGUGGACCACUGUGACCCAGGAGGCAUCCAGCGAAUCAUCAUGAUGUGGCCUUCACCUCCACUCCUGUACUGUUCUACCGAGAUUCAACACAGCCUUUUGUAGUGAAGUCAAACUCCUCAAGCCAAAUAGCUGAAGCUAUUUUAUCACAACAAAGGCUGUUUGUUCCAUGAGUGUGCAUUUCGUUUCUUCAGUUAAAGCCUUCAGAGACACGUAAUAAAUUUGGACCAGGGGAUUUUUAGUUAUCAGCACUGUCUGAAGAAUGGCAACAUCUUUUUGAGAACCACAUUGGACCAUGCCCCACUAUCUUAAAUGAUUGAAAUUCAGGAAGUAUCUAAUCUGGACCCCAUUCUUUUUCCAUGUCAAAUCUGUAGUAACCUACUGAAUGAGCAAGCAGAUAUUCUGACCCAUUGGGAUUAAAACAAAGGCACAGUGAACUCUCAGCAUCUUCUUUGGGAUUACUCAGGAACCAGAACUUUUCACACAAAUGUAAGAAAUUCUACCAAGGAAUCCCUUUACCUAACAGCAUCUCACAAAGCUCCAAUCAGAUUCCAGAAAAGGCCUCUUGAUACAUCCAGGUAGAACCUAUAUGGUAAUCCCUUAUGUUUAUAUAGCACUUUACAGUUUCAAAGCACUUUUACAUGCAUUAAUCUCAAUUAUCAAAUAACACAAAUUAUAAUCCCUUUUUGCAAAUGAGGAAAUGGAAAUUUAAAAGGUUAUCCGAGGUGACACAGCUACAAAGUGGUAGAGGCCAGGCCUUCUGACUCCUAGUCCAGUUCUCUCCUUGGAAUUAACUUAGCCUCUAUUUUACCCAGUGUUAAAAUAACUGGAGAGUGGGAACCCCAGAAAAGUUUCCAACUUCCUGAUCUGGUGCCCUCGAUCAGUCAGGAUGUCAUACAUGUAAUCUUGUGAUAGCUGUACCUAGACCAGAAUUCCAUUACAGCAUCUCUGACAUUUAGGAGUAGACUGUCCAGUCAACAAAACAAAUGUUCAUUUGACAGCAAGAUUACCCAUUAUGAAACACAAAGCUGCUUUUAGAUCUUUCAUGUAUCUUCAUGGUCUUCCCAAAGAUGGCCUAGUUGAUUGGAGAUCCCUGUUCAUAUCAUGUCUUUUUUUUUUUUUUCUUUUAAUUCUUACUAAUAUUCCUGGACACCAAGAUCUACCUGUGGUCCUCUAUCCCCAAACUAAUAUUUACAUAGAAUGAGCCAUCAAUUUUUUUAGAACAGUACUGUUCAUAUAUAUGUGUGUGUGUGUGUAUAUAUUUGAUAUACACAUAUAAUAUAUAUCAUAGAGCUUCUGUAGUCCAGUAAGGUGGUAAAAUACUGUAAAUGUGUCCCCUUCCCUGAUUCAUAAUGCAGUGUAGUGUAUUAAAGGAUCUCAGAAGGCUUGCGGUAAAGAGCCUCAUUUAGCUGUUUGGUCCAGUGUGUCCUAAGUUUAAUCAAGCACAGAAAGUUAUUUUUGCAGCAUUCCUUUUAAUGGAAUGGGAAAACUGCUCUAAAGCAGUAUAGCCAGUGCUUCCUGGUUGCCAACAGAUUACCCUGGAGACCCAGGAAUAAACAGCAUCUUUGAAACCCCCCCUUUGUUUACCUUGUCAAUAACUACUUGAAUUAGUAUGUCUUCCUCAUCUGAGAGCCCCACAUCUUGACAGUUACCUUUGUUUUCUGUCAAAGAAACCUCUAGAAGAUUUGUGGGGAUACAUGGGAUGGGGAUGGGGGGAGUUAAUUCUGCCACAAAAUUAGAUGAAUUCCAUGACAUUUAGCAAUAUACUUUUCUGUCCGUAGAAUUGUGCUGUAAAUCUAGUUUAAGGGAAUUGCAUCUCAGGUGGGUGAGGAGACUGGGAAGGGAAGGGAGGAGGAGAAUAGAGAAGAGGGGGAGGAGGGGUGAGAAGGAGAUAUUUUCUUAGGAUUUGAGUUGUGGCCCACUGAGAUCUUAUUAAUACUUGAAAAGAAGUCAUCCAGCCAGGGAAUUUUUGAAAUAAUAUUAACAAAGAAAUGAAUGCAUUUUGCAGCUGUAUGCUGACUGCAAAAACCCCAGCACUAUUGUCACUUAAAACCAAUAGCCUUGUUCUCUGAUAGUCACUUACAAGCCCAAUUUCAGGCAAUCUGAAUUUGUAGCAGACUUGAAUGUUAACUUCAUCAUUUUGUAAUGUGGCCCACAUUAGGGAAAGAAUAAAUAGGAAAACACCUUGGCUUACCACAGGCUUUGCUCACACAGUUUCUGGUUUCUGUGACCUAUUUUUUGUAUUUCAGCAUUUUGUGAACAACUUAUUCUUAGAUCAUUGAUUUUCCAAAGUCUUUGUGGCCAUGAAGCCCUUUGAAUGAAAACUUUAUGGAAGCCCAGAGUAAAAGUGAAGCUGCUCUGGAGGAAGCAGAAGUGGGGGGCCUGAAACCUGCUACAAGCAUCUUACUUUACCACCAUGGUGACACCUAAGGAGACUUCUUUACAACAACUAGAACUCUUCAGAACACAGUUUGAAAACCACUGCCCUAGACAACAGUAUGUUCGACCUGAAUGGCAUUCUGUUCUGUACCUCUACCCAACACCAUCCAUGUUCAGUUGAUGCCGAAUGUUCUUAGGAAUACUUACUGUGGGCAAACUCAGAAAAGUACAAGAAGAUGGGCAUAUCUUUGCCCCCCAGAGUAGUCAUAUGGGCCGAAAGUGGUAUCAAAUGGACCUAGAGUAAUAGCCCUCUACCUACAGAUGGACUUCCAGUGAUUCCUGGAUUUGAUAUAGCCAGAGAGCAAUUCAUACAUACUCUACACUGACAAACCCCCUUACCCAGCUUCUUUCACAAACACCAUAUGCUCUAGUGGUACUUGAAAUACAUGACCUUGAAGUCUUGAUCCUCCUUGGAUACAUGAAUUGCCAGGUAUUGAAGCUGAUGCUGAAGUUGAUGUCUCAUUGAGGCCAUAUUAGAGCAACUGUACAUUGGACCACCCAUUCUCAGCCAUGGUACUCUACUUUGUGUGCAAGGGAUAACUAUAAACUGAAAGCAGAAUUCAAAGACUGGCAACAUUAUCUAAAAGGGUACCUGGUUAUUAUUCAUAUUCUCAGACUAUGUCACUAUCACUCAACCAGUGGCAGUUACACUACUUCUUGGUUUUUAUUCAGUUUAACUGCUGUUUCCAGGAUAAAUGAGCUAAUAACCUUUGAAAAAUCGCUAAAACAAUUCCUCAGUCACUGGCACAUCUGCCUAGUCUCCAAAAUUAUGAAUACUCAGCUCUAACUGCAUGUAAUACCUGAUCCACAAGAGACAGUCUCUGAACAUCCUUUCUCGUCUGUGUGAUUUAAAAUGUGACCAUUUCGAAAAUUUUCUUCCAGCCAAGAGAGAUUUUAAGAUGGGUGUUUUGAUGUCUGGUACCAUCAGCUGUUGAUGUUAAUGAUGUUUGGAGGUAGGCCUUUUGACCAGGCCAUGAUAGCUUACUUGGUGGGCAUCUCAAAUUGCAUAUCAUCUACCUUUUUGCUGGAAAUGUAGACUGACUGGAAAUCUACAAAGCCUGCAGCUAAAGAUUUUAUCAGUAGACUCAAGAGCUUCCUGCUGCUUCUUCCUAAUGUCACAAGACCACAGUCCCCUGUCCUUGUGGAUGUUUUCAUGGAAUUUCAUCUGUCUCUACUAUUGUUUUACACUGAAUCAGAGUGGCUGACUUCAUUCCUUGUCAUGAAAUACUCUCAGGCAUUAAGACAACUUACCUGUUCAGGAGGGAUUUGAUUCAUGAACUCCUCCCAGACCAGAUCAUGUAGAACAAGUAGACUUUGAUUUGUGCCGUGAGAAAAGUCUCAUUUCUUCAGAGUCAACUUAAGGGCCCGCUGUCCUCAGCUACUUUUAACGAAUGCACUGGUUAAAUGUUGGAAAUGUUUCUUUAUAUCUUUUGUCUCUUAUCCUCUAGACUAAUUGUGAUUAUAUGAGUCAGUCUACAAAUCAUCAAACAAGGCCUAAGUCUGGUUACUCUAUACUGCUCACCCUCAACAAAUAAAAUCUGAUGACUGGCCUGCUUGUAUGUACAACUGUUAUUUGUAAAGAAGAAAUUAUCUACAAGCUUAGUUUUUCUAUUGCCUUCAAAAUGUCAGCUCGAUUUUCUUUUUCUCCUGUACUUGACCGAAAAAGACAUUGAUCUACACUGGCAGUCAUUCCCUUUAAUCCUGUCAAAAUGAGGGACUAAAGGUAAAGAUGAUCAUCUGUUCAAGAGUCUGAUGUACACUGUGUAUAAGAAUUGAUGGUGGAAAAAGCAUAAAACUCAAACCUAGUAUCUUACUAUCUCCAUGCCUCAGAUCUCAUCUUUCAGCAGUACCAUUCAACCAAUCUGAGGCCUUGACUUGUUGAUAAGAUGAUUCUCAGAGAUGGGCUGAGUUACAGAAGAUGGAGACUUGAUUACCAAAGAAAGUAGGGCCAACCUUGAUGAACCUGGCUCUCCCAACCCUAUCACUCCCAGAUGUAGCAUAGACUCCUAAACAGAACCUCAAGUCUGGAUUAAGGAGAUAGCCUUCUCCUGAGCUGAAAGUUCUUGGGCAGAUGAGCAGGAAAAUGAAAGUUGCUGUACCUGACUGGCCCUUUAAGAUCAGAAAAUUUUAUCCAGAAUAAACGCUGUGGAUUAACCCUGGAGUACUCAGGGUUAAAACUAAUGUACAGAGUUUCGAUAUUAAACUGCCUGUUCUUCUAGAUCAUAGCCUGGCUAUUGAUAUGGCUGGCCCUGCUGAAAGUACCUUACUUACUUGCCUAUUUACCUGACACAGCCCUUGCCUGCUUUUUUGACAUAUUGCUGCAAUCAGACUGGCUGUCCUUGAGAAGACUAUAGCUGAUCUUGGUCUAUCUUAUACCCAGUUCCACCAAGGGGUUUUGAACAGAAGCAGCCUGCACCUCACCCACCAGGACUUAAUGUUCACAACAGGAAGGACCGUGCUGUAUACUCCUUGACCAGCAGCUUUUUUUUUUUUUAACUGCAGAGUAAGCCUCUAUGCCUAUAUAUAUUAGCUCAUUUUCAGCACUUGGGACCCUUUCUACCAGAUCUGAAGGAGCAGAGCAGAUUGAAGUCACUGUCCAUUCCUCUGUUCUACGGUAAUACAGAGAUGAAUCUGAUUUGCCAGUACUCAACAGAAAUGUACCAGUUCGACCUGGCAAAAGACUUAAAGGAACAUAAGAAAACUUUUCCACUGAGCUUAAAAUUUACCACUGACUUGAUGAGCAUCACAGAACUAUUUGCCAGUGGGAGGCUGGUUGUCCUGCUUCAUGUCAGCAAGACAGUUGGGCUCUCAAACUCACGACCACUGAGUUUACUUACAUUGAAACUCUGUUGUAUCAUCCAGAGUAUGCUAUUGGACAUGAUUAUUCCAUUCAAAUGGAUUACAAGCCUCCUGAGUAGAAGACAAACUUACUCCUCAUGAUUUUUUCCAGAAUACAUUUAUUGUCAAGGAAGGAACAAUGCCAGCUGUUACCAUUCAACUUUAUGAGCAGAGAUUAAACUUUUUCAAUAUCUGGUCUUACCACUGACAUCAGUUGUUUUUGAUUGACCAGCAUCAAUUCCAUCCCUUUGCAACAACUCCCUGAUGUUUCUUGGAACCUCGUCUCCUUCUUUUCAGUCCAUGUGGUUCAAUCUGACCUAAUCUUAGGUUUCAUGGGUGGACAUUUAAUUCAGACCUAAUCAAUCAGCACAGUCCAUCUCCUUGACCAUAGUGAUUCGUUCAGGAAUGGUCAUGUGAUUCAAGCUGGUCCAGUGAUACCCAACCCUAAGAGUUUAGUGAACUGUGGAGGAGAAGCUCAGAAGCUCUACUGAGGUUGCUUAGCUCUGUAGGAUGAAAAGCUCAGACCAACAGGGCCCACCAUAUCAAAUGAGCCAGUCAAAGAAUGAAGCCAGUACAGAGGAAAGCAGAGCCAAAUGUUGGAGAGACUUGAGUCCUGAUGACAAUGUUUGUGCCCCUGGAUCCAACCGUGCCUGAAGCUAGUAUAUCCCCUGGACUUUUCAGUUAUGUGAACCAAUAAAUACCCUUCUUUGCUUAAGUUA